rnacentral:rRNA from 1 species
AUUGAACGCUGGCGGCAGGCCUAACACAUGCAAGUCGAACGAGUGGCGGACGGGUGAGUAAUGUCUGGGACACUGCCUGAUGGAGGGGGAUAACUACUGGAAACGGUAGCAAAUACCGCAUACCCUCGGAUGUGCCCAGAUGGGAUUAGCUUGUAGGUGGGGUAAAGGCUCACCUCGGCGACGAUCCCUAGCUGGUGUGAGAGGAUGACCAGCCACACUGGACCGGAGACACGGUCCAGACUCCUACGGGAGGAAGCAGUGGGGAAUAUUGCAAAAUGGGCGAAAGCCGGAUGCAGCCAUGCCGCGUGUAGGAAGAAGGCCUUCGGGUGGAAAAGUACUUUCAGCGGGGAGGCGUUACCCGCAGAAGAAGCACCGGCUAACUCCGUGCCAGCAGCCGCGGUAAUUC